UUUUUAUGCCCCCUUUUGAAGAAAAGGGGGCAUAUAGUGAUCGGACUGUCCGUCUGUCUGUCCGUCUUUCCGUCACACUUUGCAUUUAGGUUUCGAAAAAUGCUCAUAACUUCUAUGUCCCUUGAGAUAUAACCUUCAUAUUUGGUAUGCAUGUGUAUAUGGACAAGGCCUUUCCAUACGCACACAAAUUUUUACCCCUGUGACCUUGACCUUGAACUUAGGGUCCGCGUUUAGGUUUCGAAAUCUGCGUUUAGGUUUUGAAAAAUGCUCAUAACUUCUAUGUCCCUUGAGAUAUAACCUUCAUAUUUGGUAUGCAUGUGUAUAUGGACAAGGCCUUUCCAUACGCACACAAAUUUUGACCCCUGUGACCUUGACCUUGAACUUAGGGUCCGCGUUUAGGUUUCGAAAUCUGCGUUUAGGUUUUGAAAAAUGCUCAUAACUUCUAUGUCCCUUGAGAUAUAACCUUCAUAUUUGGUAUGCAUGUGUAUUUGGGCAAGGCCUUUCCAUACGCACACAAAUUUUGACUCCUGUGACCUUGAACUUAGGGUCCGUGUUUAGGUUUCGAAAUCUGCGUUUAGGUUUGGAAAAAGCUCAUAACUUCUAUCAAGUGUUUAUAGGGGGCAUAAGUCAUCCUAUGGUGACAGCUCUUGUUCCUUUUGGACUCCUACUUUUUCCAAGUAAGGAGACCAAGGACUCCUGUUUUAAAAUCCUAGUGAGACCCCUGGACAUUGUUUGGUGUUUUGUACCUUUUUAACAACCCUAUAACUGCGUAACUUCUAUAGGUUUAAACCUUAACCAUGUGAUUAUUAUGUGACGAAAUUGACAAAGAUCAAUAAGUUUUACCUGCUUUUAAGCAGAAUAAUGUCCCUUACUGUGCUGCAAAAAUGAAAGUUGGACUUCACUAUACUUUUCCUACCAUAGAUAUGCAAUUGAAACUAAACCAUUUCCCACUUAGAUACAUAUUUUUACGCAUUUGCAGUCCCUUAAAAAGUUAAAUUUAAUUAAAGACCUUUUAUACUAGAUUCAAGUUUUAAAGGCUUCAUUUCCAACCCUUAGAUACUGAUGAGCAGCAAACAGCAUAAAACCUGAACAGACUGCGAGUUACUCGCAGGCUUUUCUGGUUUGAUGCUGUUUGCACAUAGCCAUUUUCAUUUUGCUUCUGGGUGGGAAAGGAUUCACAUAAAUCUCUUCAUGGUCUUUAUUUUUAUGGUAGUACUAGACGAUGUACAUUAUUCUAUCAAAGUUGGAGAAAAGUCGACUGAAGUAUAGUCCACAAAGUGGAUGCACAGAAAUUAUUAUAGAUGAUGAUUACCUCCUAUGUCUGCACAUUCAUGUAUGAUUUUUGUCAAUUUGAUGCAAUAUGUCACUUGUAUGACAGAGGCUUACAACCAAGUUAGAUGGUUAUGGUUAUGGUUAUCAUAUAUAUAUACAUACAUAUAUAUAUCCUUGCAGUGUUUCAGUGUACGAAAGAUUAUAAAAUUUGCUUUUUGCCCACUAAACUUCCAGAUAAAUAAUCUGGUAGCCCAACAUUUUCAAGAACCUUUAAUAACAUACCCUCUUAUUUUUAUGAAAAAUACUUCUACGAAAUAUGAUAUUCAAAUAACCUUAUUGUAUAUGAUUAUACAAUAAGUAUUGUAAUGAGAAGCAGAAAUACAAAUCAAGGGACUUAAUUAAAAAAUAUUAUAUAAUGUAAGAACGCAGUUAUUUUUUUUGCUCUAUCGUUGAACGGUUGAUAUCUGCGUAUUUUUUUAUGAGCACAAACAUUGAUGUCAAUAACAAGGUACAAAUCCUAAUUUUAAAUACAUACAUGCCUCUUUCUUCUUAGACUUUAAAAACAAGAGGGCCAAGAUGGCCAUAGUUCGCUCACCUGAGAGGAGUCGGUUCAUUCAAUCUUUACCAAACGUCAAACUUGACCUAGAUAUUGUCCAGACCAACAUCCUGGUCAAGUUUCAUCAUUAUUGAACCAAAACGCUGGCCUAUGGAAUGGUUUUGUUUUUGUAAGAUUUGACCUGGUGACCUAUAUUUUGAGUUGAACCCCCCCUUACCAAACAUCAAACUUUGCUUACAAAAAUAAAUAUUAUGACCAAGAUUCAUAAAAUCUGAAACAAAAUUGUGACCUCUAGAGUGUUUACAAGGAUUUUGUAUAAUAUAAUGAAAAUUUGGACAAUCUAAGGGCAAUAGUUAUGGCAUUAAUUAUGUGAUAUAUAUAAAACCAAUCUUUGUACCAAGUUUCAUGAUAAUUGGGCAAAAAAAGUGAUUUCUAGAGUGUUCACAAGCUUUUUUUACUAUAUAAAUAUAAGAAAAAUGCCCCCCCCCUCCGGCAGCCAUGUUAUUCAACUGACCGGAACCAUUUUCGAACUCAACUCUCAUAUCAAGGAAACGAAUGUUCUGACCAAAUUUCAUGAAAAUUGGGCCAAAAAUGUGACUUCUAGAGUGUUCACAUGUUUCACUAAAUACAUUUAGAGAAAAAUGCCCCGCCCACUGGCGGCCAUGUUUUUUCACCGAUCUGGACCAUUUUCGAACUCGUCCGAGAUAUCAACAUGCUACCUCCAAUUCCUUUAUCUAAUAGUUUUUUCCAUAAUAUACUACGAUUAAUGAAAUCAUACGCUUUGCUAAAGUCGAUAAAGGCACAAAAGGUAGACUGCCUAAGUUUUUUCCUAGUUUCAAUUACAUUUGUCAAAGUUGAGAUAUGGUCAACUGUAUUUCUAUGUUUACGGAAACCAUUCUGUUCAUCUGCUAAGACAUUAUUAUUCUCAGCCCAUACUGAUAAUCUAUUGUUUAAUACCGAACAAUAAAGCUUAUACAUGCUUACAGAUAGUGAAAUACCUCUGUAAGAUAAUGGAUCACGUUGAUCAACAGUAUUUGACUUCGGAAUGGGAUUUAUUAUUACUUUACCCCAGUCAGUAGGUAUAGUACCAGUAGUGACACAAACAUUAAAAAGAAUAUGUAAAAAUGACACUGAGCAAGUAUUUCUAAAUAUAUCUACAGGUAUAGAGUCCACACCACAUGCCUUUCCUCUUUUUGCUAUAAAAAUUGCAUUUUUAAUUUCCUCUAUAGAAAUAUUGUGGUUUAAGACACUGUUAUCAGUAGAAUCCAAAUUACUUAAAUCAUUAUCAGACAAAAGUAAGAUUAACCUGAGGCUGUAUCACUAAAAUUUCUAUUUACAUUAAAUCAUUCUUCCAUUUCAGUAAAAUGUAAUUAAUAUCACCAGAAACAGAACCAUCUGCUUGUCUCAAUUUAACAACGGAUCACACAUACCCGCUUUAAUAUGUUUAAAAUACCCUAUGUUAUUUCGCGUAUAUUUAUUAGUUAGAUCCGAUUCUAAAAUAGUAGAAAGAACUUAAUGUUAUAUAAAAUAUAUAUAUAUAUAUAUAUAUAUAUAUAUAUAAACACAUAUAUACAUAAAAUGGGCUAAUAAGUACAUCUUUUUCUUCAACGUCCUGGUAUACAUUGUUAAGGACUUUGAGGCCAUAGGGCCAGUAGUUUGUGGUUAUAGGAUCUUAAUGAAGCCUAAAGUAUUAUAUGUUUCUAAAAUUCGUUUAGAUUUAGAUAACUAAUUUAUUAAAAAUAGUUUAUAAAAAAGUAAAAAGUUAUACCAUUUUUAUUUCUUUUUAGUAUUGAUACACAUUAGAGAAGAUCCAGUUUUGUUAGUCAGUGUUUGUUGUCCAAUACAAUAUUAGCAUGUUUUGAGCAAUGCUAGGCCUCUGGUACUAUCCAAAGUAGCAGACAAAUAAUUGUUUUGAAAAAAGUCAAAUAUUUCCAUUUAAUCUGUUCGAUUUAUAAUUGGUAGAAUGUAAACAUGGUAAAACACACCAAUUUUAUCAAGAUUCCAAUAAAUAAUGAUAUUUUA